AAUUUUGAAGCAGCAAACUUUGAAGCAACAAAGUUUGAUUGAUCUCUUUUCACACUUUCACACGUUCUAUGUCAAAUAUUUCAAUCUAUUUAAACAUCAAUGUAUCAUUCUCAAAUUCACAAAUCAACAAAAAUUCACUCAAAUAUUUCCAAUUCGCAGCAACUGAUUUACUUCACUCAUUCAAGCUGGUGCGGCGCGACUAGGAUAUGAAUUUUAAUUGUAUUACUCAAGUUAGCAUUCAAGUUGAAGUUCAAGUUCAAGUUAAAUUUCCAGGUGCGGCGCGACUAGGAUAUGAAUUUUAAUUGUAUUACUCAAGUUAGCAUUCAAGUUGAAGUUCAAGUUCAAGUUAAAUUUCCAGGUGAUUGAUAUCGGAGGCGCGUGGAGAGUCGAAUGGGCGCGUCGAAUCUAUUUAAAGAUAAAUGUUUCCUAAAACAUAUUAUGUUAUUUCAUGUGAUAUCUCUUGAUUAUGUAAACUCUGAAAUUCUAUACUAUUUGAGAUUUGUGUGUGAUUUAUUUAAAUAAAUGUUAUUAUAUUAUUUUA